rnacentral:rRNA from 1 species
CCUACGGGUGGCAGCAGUGAGGAAUAUUGGUCAAUGGGCGCGAGCCUGAACCAGCCAAGUCGCGUGAAGGAUGACUGCCCUACGGGUUGUAAACUUCUUUUAUAAAGGAACAAAGUGAGGCACGUGUCCCGUGUCGUAAGUACCCUGUGAAUAAGGAUCGGCUAACUCCGUGCCAGCAGCCGCGGUAAUACGGAGGAUCCGAGCGUUCUCCGGAUUUAUUGGGUUUAAAGGGAGCGUAGGUGGGGUGGUAAGUCAGUUGGUAAAAUUUGGGGCUCAACCGUAAAAUUGCAAUUGAUACUGGCAGCCUUGAGUGCAGUAGAGGUAGGCGGAAUUCGUGGUGUAGCGGUGAAAUGCUUAGAUAUCACGAAGAACUCCGAUUGCGAAGGCAGCCUAC